CUCGCCUCGCCUCUGCCCGUCUUCCCGCUUUCCCGCCUCUCCUUUCUCUUGCCUCUCGCGCUGCCGUGUGUGCGAACAAAGGGGCAAAAUUUGGAUGCCAGCAGAAUUUCUGCUAUCAAACAAGGGCAGCUGCUGCUGGGGGCAAUGGUAGAGAGCGGUGCUAAAGAAAGGCAGAAGGAAGAGGAGAGCUGGAGACGCAUCUGGAGAUGAGGCAAAAAACCCCUUUAAUUAGGAUCUUGUGAGACAGACACAGAGAAUUGUCUCCAAAAUGAAGAGGAGGAGGAGAUGGGAAUGACAAGAGAUGCAAGGUUGCCUUUUAAAUUUGGAAUUGGUACAUCUGCCCACUCUUAACGGCAUUUUCCAGUGAAAAUUUUGAUCUGAAAGAUCUUUCCUGGUUGAUAUUUCCUUGACCAUCUUACUGCUGUCACCCUUUCCCCAAACACACCCUAGAAAAAGAAAAACAUUUCUGAGUGAGAUUUUUUCUCUCCAACAGCCAAAAUAGAAAUGGCCAUGGAGGAACCAGAGCCCGUUUUAAAAUUGGAAGGGCAGUCCUGUAGCUGGCCAACUGGACACAGCAGAUCAAGAACCCUCUAAAGAUGACUUUCAUAUGACAUUGAAUGUUUGCAUAAAUUUGUCAAUUUUAAAAAUAAAAUAAAAAUAUCAUUUUCCUACCUG